UGAGCUUUGUGUGAGCAGGUGCUCCUGAAACGGGUCCUUAAUAUUCUGGAUUCCUUCAACUCUGUGGCUCUGCGUCAUUCACAGCAGGAACAUGGGGGCUUGUGACAGACUCCAGACCAAAUGGGAAACUGAGGCAGCAGCUCGGGUCCAGGAGCAGGGAGACAGAGAAGUGUGGAGGAAAGAAGGUGGACUUUGAUGCUGCUCAGGUUGGAAUUUCAGGCCUGGCUCUUCACCUCUCUGAGGCUCAGUUUUCCCUCCAGUAAAAUGGCACCAGCCAACAGCUGAUCCUCUGGGAGGCAUGAAGACAGAGUUGGCAGCCGAGGAGCUGUGAGGGUGCCUAGCCAGGCACUGAGUGGAGCUGCUCCGCAUUCAGGUUGGGCAAUGGCGGCUUCUGGGACGGCAGAGGAGCCCCUCAGGGGGCAGGAAGAGGAAGAGGAGGCAGAGCUGCCGGGAAGAGCUGUGGGGUCAGGGUCAGUUACCCCCAGGAGGGGACCAAGGUCUUCAGGGAGGUGGAGACGGGGUGGAUGGGGGAUGAGGUUCUCAGGCUGGCACGUGUAUGUGUUUAUGAAGCCUGGAAGCUCCCAGACAGGAGAAGCCUGCUCUUCUGAGUCUUGUCCCUGACUCCCCCAAUCCAGCAUGUGCCUGGGCACUAACACACAAAACCCUAGCCGAUGCUAUGGGAGCCCAUUUUCUGGGAGCUCUGGUGGCAGCAAACUGGGAGAGAGCUGCUAGUCUGGGAGCAGAAGGUACCCAGCAUGCAUCACUGUACCGUCAAGUAUGCUGAGGGCUCUGGAGGGGAACCGGGAGGCAGGGAGCAGGAGUGAGAUCUGUGGGCUCCUUGCUCUCCAGGGCUCUGACCAUGCUGCACAGCAAUGACAGUGGCCUGAAGGACAGUGACUCAGAGUCACCUUGGUUCUUUAGAGAGCUAACAGCUCACAGAAGCAGGCUGUUCUGUUUUCAGAAAGCAGGUCUCCUAGAAAGAACACACAAACAAAGUGACAAACUCCUAUUCAUCCUUCAAAGCCCAGCUCAGAUGUUACCUUGUCACAGGAAGCCCUUCAUGACUCUCCACCUACAGGGACUGUCUUCUGCAGCACAUCUCUACCUUGCACCUGUUUAUGUCAUGACACCGAGCCCACCACUUGGUAAUAUUUAUAUAUCUGUGUGUCUUCCUCAUGAGACUAGGAGCUCCUUGAGAGUGGGGCAAAUAUCUGAUUUAUUUCUCUAAUGUCUAACAUGAGGUGAACCUGGAGUGGGUUUCUGAGUCAGACACACAGAUCCUCAGCUGAUGGACUGGGCUAGAGAAAGAGGAUUGGGCAGGAAAAGAUGCUUCAGGUCCAGGGACCUAUUUUGAAUGUCCAGGGAGGGGCAGGGUGGUGGGGUAAGCGUAGCUGCCCCUCCUGAGAAUCAUGACACCAAAUCUUAAUGGGUCAGCUGGUGAGCACUAUGG